GCUGUAUCAGAGGACUCCCGAAGACAACUGGAAGAGGUACAAGAGAGUGAAAUACCACAAGAACGGAAUGAGAAACAUCAGGGCAGAAACGAUCAAUCCGACAGCGACAACGACGAUAUUGACGAUCGAGAGGAAGGGGUCAACCUCUUCCUUGGUCAAAGUAGUAAUAUAGAUGACGUAAAUCAGGAUGCAAAUGCGGUAAUACUGCAAGAACGGAAUGAGAAACAUCAGGACGGAAACG